CAGACCGAUCUAAGGUGAAACCGCGAAUGGCUCAUUAAAUCAGUCAUAAUUCCUUGGAUAGUGAAAAACUUUCCUCGGAUAACUGUGGAAAAUCCAGAGCUAAUACGUGCAACUGAGCUCCGACCGUGGCGCGAGCCGCGGGAAGAGCGCAUUUGUUAGAUUCAAAACUGACCGGCGUACUCCUUCGGGAUGCGCCGAUUGUUAAAUUUUGAUGACUCAGGACAACUAAGUCGAGCGCUCCGGUCUUUAGUACCGGCGCCGUAUCUUUCAAGUGUCUGCCUUAUCAGCUUUCGAUUGUAGGUUAAACGCCUACAAUGGCUGUAACGGGUAACGGGGAAUCAGGGUUCGAUUCCGGAGAGGGAGCCUGAGAAACGGCUACCACAUCUAAGGAAGGCAGCAGGCACGCAAAUUACCCACUCCCAGCACGGGGAGGUAGUGACGAAAAAUAACGAUGCGAGACUCUUCCGAGGCCUCGCAAUCGGAAUGAGUCCAGUUUAAAUCCUUGGACGAGGAUCCAUUGGAGGGCAAGUCUGGUGCCAGCAGCCGCGGUAAUUCCAGCUCCAAUAGCGUAUAUUAAAGUUGCUGCGGUUAAAAAGCUCGUAGUUGGACUUUCUAGAUCCAUUUCGUGGGUGAGUCGCUCUUUGUAUUGGCGUCUCGCGCGGUUCCUUGACCAAGUCGUCGUCGCGCGCAUGCGGGUGCGUACUUCUCUUUGGGCUUUUGGGUCUAUUGGGAGGUUGCGCUCGUGUGUCGCCGUCGUCGUACCGAAUCUUGAGGACGGCGAGAUGUUGUCUUAGAGUAUAGCUCGUCCGCGUUUGGUACAAUUAAAAUUUUGUCGGCUCGCUCGGAGUGCUCUUUACCGAGUGUUCCAGGGUGGCUGACACGUUCACUUUGAAAAAAUUAGAGUGCUUAAAGCGGGCUUAUUUACGGCCUGAAUGUCUGUGCAUGGAAUGAAGUAACAGGACCUCGAUUCUGUUGUUUUUGUCGGUUUUAUUGAACCGAGGUAAUGAUUAAAAGGGACAGACGGUGGCAUUAGUAUUGCGGCGCUAGAGGUGAAAUUCUUGGACCGUCGCAAGACUAACUACUGCGAAAGCAUUUGCCGAGAAUGUUUUCAUUAAUCAAGAACGAAAGUUAGAGGAUCGAAGGCGAUCAGAUACCGCCCUAGUUCUAACCCUAAACUAUGCUAACUAGCGAUCCGCCGGAGUCAUUCCCACGACCCGGCGGGAAGCCCCAGGGAAACCAAAGUCUUUGAGUUCCGGGGGAAGUAUGGUUGCAAAGCUGAAACUUAAAGGAAUUGACGGAAGGGCACCACCAGGAGUGGAGCCUGCGGCUUAAUUUGACUCAACACGGGAAACCUCACCAGGCCCGGACAUCAGUAGGAUUGACAGGUUGAGAGCUCUUUCUCGAUUUGAUGGGUGGUGGUGCAUGGCCGUUCUUAGUUGGUGGAGUGAUCUGUCUGGUUGAUUCCGAUAACGAACGAGACUCUACCCUACUAACUAGUCGGCGGAUCGUAACCCUGAGAUGGUUAGUUUGUAUAGGGGAGUUUUGCCUAGUGGUGGCGCGUUCGUCGUUCGUCGUCGUUCCGAUAGGGGUACGGGCUCGUUUCGUAUUUCCUAGAAGGCGGCGGCGCUGCGGCGCGAUGCGUUUAACUUCGAAGCGGCUUUCUGAUUACUACUACUGCUGGGGGCGUCCGUCGCAAUGUAUCUUCUUAGAGGGAUCAGCGGCGUAUAGCCGCACGAGAAAGAGCAAUAACAGGUCUGUGAUGCCCUUAGAUGUUCUGGGCCGCACGCGCGCUACAAUGUAGGGCUCAGCGUGCUUCCCCUCUCCGAAAGGAGCGGGUAACCCGUUGAAACCCCUACCCGAUUGGGAUUGGGGAUUGCAAUUAUUUCCCAUAAACGAGGAAUUCCCAGUAAGUGCGAAUCAUUAAUUCGCGCUGAUUACGUCCCUGCCCUUUGUACACACCGCCCGUCGCUACUACCGAUUGAAUGAUUCAGUGAGGGCAUCGGACUGGCCCUUCGGUUUAGUAACCUAGACCUUAGGCUGACGGAAAGAUGUCCGAACUUGAUCAUUUAGAG
rnacentral:rRNA from 1 species